UGGUCGGGAUAGCUCAGCUGGUAGAGCAGAGGACUAAGUCCCAA
rnacentral:tRNA from 1 species